AAUGAACGCCGGCGGUAUGCUUAACACAUGCAAGUCGAACGAUGAGAAAGAGCUUGCUCUUUCGAUUAGUGGCGGACGGGUGCGUAACGCGUAGGAAUCUACCUAUUAGUGGGGGACAACUUAGGGAAACUUAAGCUAAUACCGCAUACGCCCUACGGGGGAAAGAAGGGGAUCGCAAGACCUUUUGCUAAUAGAUGAGCCUGCGUAGGAUUAGCUAGUUGGUGGGGUAAAAGCUCACCAAGGCGACGAUCCUUAACUGGUUUGAGAGAAUGAUCAGUCACACUGGAACUGAGACACGGUCCAGACUCCUACGGGAGGCAGCAGUGGGGAAUAUUGGACAAUGGGCGAAAGCCUGAUCCAGCAAUACCGCGUGUGUGAAGAAGGCCUUAGGGUUGUAAAGCACUUUCAAUUGGAAGGAAAACCUCGAAGCUAAUACCUUCGAGUUUGACAUUACCUUUAGAAGAAGCACCGGCUAACUCCGUGCCAGCAGCCGCAGUAACAC
rnacentral:rRNA from 1 species